UGUAAAGCUGACUGCGGAGGACAUUAACAAGUUUGAACGGAGGUUGUCGCUGGCCCUCAGGGGCAUGUGCACGCCUCCACUCUCACUUCAUCUCCCACACCUGUGCACCCUUGCGUGGGCCCACCGACCCCUUCACGGGGGCUCUAUGGGCUCGCGUCCUUUUUCACAAACCCCCCAUGUAUGUCUUCAGAAUGUCGAAUGCUAUAAACGCAUCUUAUACAACUUUCAACAACGGAUCUCUUGGCUCUCGCAUCGAUGAAGAACGCAGCGAAAUGCGAUAAGUAAUGUGAAUUGCAGAAUUCAGUGAAUCAUCGAAUCUUUGAACGCACCUUGCGCCCCUUGGUAUUCCGAGGGGCACGCCUGUCUGAGUGUCGUUAUAUUCUCAACCAAGGUCUCCUUUCGAGGUUGGACCUUGGCUUGGACUUGGAGGCUCUUGCCGGCCUUGACCCCUUCGGGGCGGUCGGCUCCUCUUGAAUGCAUUAGUGUGACCCUCUCGCGGUCGUCCGCCUCUGGCUUGAUAAUUGUCUAUGCCGUUGGUGUGUCGGUCCGUGAGCUCAUGUGGGCCUCGCUUCUAACCGUCCUCUCGGGGACAGCUCCAUCUACACUUGACCUCAGAUCAGGCGGGACUACCCGCUGAACUUAAGCAUAUAAAA
rnacentral:rRNA from 1 species